UACGUGGGGGGCAAGCGUUGUUCGGAAUUACUGGGCGUAAAGGGCUCGUAGGCGGCCAACUAAGUCGGAUGUGAAAUCCCCAGGCUCAACCUGGGAACUGCAUCUGAUACUGGAUGGCUUGAAUUCGGGAGAGGGAUGCAGAAUUCCAGGUGUAGCGGUGAAAUGCGUAGAUAUCUGGAGGAAUACCGGUGGCGAAGGCGGCAUCCUGGACCGACAUUGACGCUGAACGGCGAAAGCUAGGGGAGCAAACGGG
rnacentral:rRNA from 1 species